CGGACAGAAGGGAGCUUGCUCCCGGAUGUUAGCGGCGGACGGGUGAGUAACACGUGGGUAACCUGCCUGUAAGACUGGGAUAACUCCGGGAAACCGGAGCUAAUACCGGAUAGUUCCUUGAACCGCAUGGUUCAAGGAUGAAAGACGGUUUCGGCUGUCACUUACAGAUGGACCCGCGGCGCAUUAGCUAGUUGGUGGGGUAAUGGCUCACCAAGGCGACGAUGCGUAGCCGACCUGAGAGGGUGAUCGGCCACACUGGGACUGAGACACGGCCCAUACUCCUACGGGAGGCAGCAGUAGGGAAUCUUCCGCAAUGGACGAAAGUCUGACGGAGCAACGCCGCGUGAGUGAUGAAGGUUUUCGGAUCGUACAUCUCUGUUGUUAAGCAAGAACAAGUGCUACAGUAACUGCUCGCACCUUGACGGUACCUAACCAGAAUGCCACGGCUAACUACAUGCCAUCAGCAGCGGUAAUACGUAUGCGGCAAGCGUUGUCUGGAAUUAUUGGCCCUAAAGGGCGCGCAGGCGCCUUCUUAAUUCUGAUGUGAUAGCUCCCGCCUCAGCCGGCGAGGGUCAUUGUGCACUGUGAGACUUGAGUGCAGAAGAGGAGAGUGAAUUCCACGUGUAGCGCUGACAUG
rnacentral:rRNA from 1 species